rnacentral:rRNA from 1 species
UACACUCCUACGGGAGGCAGCAGUGGGGAAUUUUGGACAAUGGGCGAAAGCCUGAUCCAGCAAUGCCGCGUGAGUGAAGAAGGCCUUCGGGUUGUAAAGCUCUUUUGUCAGGGAAGAAACGGUGAGAGCUAAUAUCUUUUGCUAAUGACGGUACCUGAAGAAUAAGCACCGGCUAACUACGCGCCAGCAGCCGCGGUAAUACGUAGGGUGCAAGCGUUAAUCGGAAUUACUGGGCGUAAAGCGUGCGCAGGCGGUUUUGUAAGUCUGAUGUGAAAUCCCCGGGCUCAACCUGGGAAUUGCAUUGGAGACUGCAAGGCUAGAAUCUGGCAGAGGGGGGUAGAAUUCCACGUGUAGCAGUGAAAUGCGUAGAUAUGUGGAGGAACACCGAUGGCGAAGGCAGCCCCCUGGGUCAAGAUUGACGCUCAUGCACGAAAGCGUGGGGAGCAAACAGGAUUAGAUACCCGUGUAGUCCCAUGAU